rnacentral:rRNA from 1 species
AUUGAACGCUGGCGGCAGGCCUAACACAUGCAAGUCGAGCGAGCGUCGGACGGGUGAGUAAUGUCUGGGAAACUGCCUGAUGGAGGGGGAUAACUACUGGAAACGGUAGCUAAUACCGCAUACCAUCAGAUAUGCCCAGAUGGGAUUAGCUAGUAGGGGGGGUAAUGGCUCACCUAGGCGACGAUCCCUAGCUGACCUGAGAGGAUGACCAGCCACACUGGAACUGAGACACGGCCCAGACUCCUACGGGAGGCAGCAGUGGGGAAUCUUGGGCAAUGGGCGAAAGCCUGAUCGAGCAACGCCGCGUGUAUGAAGAAGGCCUUCGGGUCGUAAAGCACUGUCGUCGGAGAAGCGGUAUUUACCCAGGAAGCCACGGCUAACUCCGUGCCAGCAGCCGCGGUAAUAC